UACGGAGGGUGCAAGCGUUGUCCGGAUUUAUUGGGUUUAAAGGGUGCGUAGGCGGUUUUGUAAGUCAGUGUUUAAAGUCAGCAGCUUAACUGUUGUAGUGGCAUUGAUACUACAGAACUUGAGUAAAGUUGAGGUUGGCGGAAUUUAUGGUGUAGCGGUGAAAUGCAUAGAUACCAUAAAGAACACCGAUUGCGAAGGCAGCUAACUAAGCUUUAACUGACGCUGAGGCACGAAAGCGUGGGGAUCAAACAGGAUUAGAUACCCUGGUAGUCCACGCCGUAAACGAUGAUUACUCGAUGUUGGCGAUAUUACAGUCAGCGUCUUAGCGAAAGCGUUAAGUAAUCCACCUGGGGAGUACGAUCGCAAGAUUGAA
rnacentral:rRNA from 1 species